rnacentral:tRNA from 1 species
AAGCAAAGAAGUAAAAUACAAUUAAUUUCGACUUAAAUAUAGAGAAUAAAAUUUCUCCAUGCUUA